CGCAGCGAUCUGCAGGAGGCCAACGACUGUGAACUGCGUGGACCUGAGCUGGCAUUUGGCCAGGACAAUGGGAUUAACUUCCCAAGCGCUGGCCAAAAAGGGCCCUGGGAUUUUUAUUUUUAUUCGUUUUCCAUUACAACUGCACAGCAACGCAAACAAAGCCCCAAACAAGGAGGAAGAUUUGACUGUCAGGAGGAGCUGGUGACCUCAUUCUGUCAUUCUGUUCUUGGGGCCACUGAAGGGAGGAAGCUGGCUCUGCCGGGAGCAGGACUCCCUCGAGUGACUGGGUGCAGACUGGAGAGAGGGAGAGCCAGGCAGUGGUGACAAAGCUGCCCUGUGGCAAGUACUGUGGAGAGAUGACUGCCUAAUAAACCUGUAAAGGCAAGUUCA
rnacentral:lncRNA from 1 species